rnacentral:lncRNA from 1 species
GCCUGAGUAGCCGUAGUGUCAGCAACGGAAUCAAAGGUGAAGUUAUGGCCAUUGAUGGACAAUGAAUCAUUGGAAACCUUUUGAACAGUGGGAUCUCCUUCGUCCUUAUAGGGACAGAGCGGGGAAGUCAGAUAGAAGACAUUAGAAAAGUAAGAAGUCGAAAAGAGUAAUAGGCGAAAGCAACCUUGACGGAAUCGGAGGAUGCAGGGAGGGAAUUGUCGGUCAGGGCAUAGUGUUUCUCAAUUCUUACCCUUCCUUUGACACUGACAAUAAAAAAUUGUUAAUUGAAUAAAUUGAAAAGAGAAUACAAAAAGGUUUUUUACCUUGUCCAAUAUUGUAGGCUACUCAGUGACCUUAAGUUCCAUGGCAGCUGCAUCUUUGAACUACUUUUUAUAUUUUUCCCCUAUUAGACAAAAAUUUCAAAGGUCAUCAAUAAACCAAAAUGCUACAAAUAGAGAUCCAAAGGCACACACCUUAAAGAAUGGUGAAAGGCCAAAUGUUAAGGCACCAUGAUUCUUGAGCAAAUAGAGGUAGUCCACCUUACUUCAUCUCUGCUCUUUAUAUGUCCUUUCAUUCAUUCGAGUGGAGAACUUGGCAUACAUUAUAAAUGACUACUAAAUGCUAUUCAAGCCGACUUUUAAGUUCCUAUUACAUGUAACAGUCAGUAGCCACCAUCUAACAACCAAACUUCUAAACACAUAGAAAAGAAUAAACUUCCCUAUAAACCAGAAAGCAAGCAAUUGGAAAAGUCAAGUUAUUGCUUUUCUAUUGGCUUACAACUUUGAUAUCAGAGAGAAUAUUAUGAACUUCGAUAUUUGGCUUUUCCUUCUUUCGAUAAGUCAACUACAUUAUUCCAAAGAAGAUUAAUUCCAACCACCAAUAUGAAAAUUGAAAAAUCUUCAACCAUCAACUACUAAUUAAGUUCGUGUGAAGCAGAGAAAUAACAGAGGCAGAGAAUCAUUAUAGGGUUUCAAAAGAAUUUCAAUAUUUAAAAUUAAGAAAAAAUUAUCAAUACUGCAAUAAUGUACAGGUGUGUAAAUUGAAAAUGCGACAUUCAACAAAUAUGCAAUCACUGAAACAUGCAUGUAGAAAUGAAUUAGCACUAUAAGGAAGAACAAAACUGAAACCAUGGAGCUCUAAUCCAACAGCCAUGGCAGGUUAGGACACUGGAAGGAAAAAGAAAAUUGAAAGCAUAUGGUAGUUGUAGAGUGAGAGUGAGCGAGAGUGAGGGGAGGCAGUUACGGGUGAGGAGGAAGAGAGGCAACUGCGAGCGAGAGUGAUGGGAAGCCGUUAAGCCAGUAAGCGAGAGUCAGGGAGCAGAGAGGGUAGUUGCGAGAGUGAGGAAGGUCAGAGAUUUUACCUUGUUUGGAGCUCGAAUAGGGUUUUCGUCUUGACAUUAGCAACGAGCCACUCUCCGAACUGUCUCUUCUUCUUUUGCACUCUCCCUUCCAUGGUUUGGCUCAGGAACCCUAGAAGAAAGGUUUGCGCUUGAGGACCCAAUAAGAUCUGAUGUGUGGCUGAGCGAGAGGGAGGGAGUACGAGUGCAGCACGAGAAUUAAUGAAGAAGAUGAAGAAGUGACCUGAGAAAGAUGACGAAGUGAUUCAGUGAGAGACCAAGAUGAAUUCGCGAGAGGGAACGAAAGUCUAAGAAGAGGGAAAAAUGUUAGUAUUUUCGAGAGAGGGGG